AAGGUGUCCCAGUCUGUCCGAGCAAGCGGCGUGCGUGGCGCUCCUGCCCGGGACCCCGCCGUACCCCCGCGUCCCGCGCUACCCCGCUCGUCUCACCACGGCAUCGCCGCCGAUCUCGGCCGCCACUCCGCUCCCUGGGACCGGCUCCGGGCUGCGCGUGGUCCGCUUCCCUGUGGGGGUCGGAGAGAAGAAAGAGUAUAGGGUCUUCUGGCCGAUCAUGCCUGCGCCGAGCACGGACCUCCGGGACUCCUGCAGCCGUGCUCACGGACGCGUCUGAGCUGUGAGUGGGCGGCGGGAUGGACAAGUUCCUGGUGAGGCCAGACCUCCGCGACCUCCAAGGGGGAGGGGAGGAGCCCGCCCCGACGGGAGGAGCCUCGGGCGACCUGAAGAGCCCGGACUGGCGACACCUUCGCGCGGAAGGUCUGAGCUGUGAUUACACCGUCCUAUUCGGCAAAGCCGAGGCAGACAAGAUUUUCCGAGAGUUGGAGCAAGAAGUGGAGUAUUUUACUGACAUGCUGGCUUGGAAUUUGUGUUCUGUCUACUUCAGCACCAGAGUGAAUACUUGGGACAAGCCACAAUGAUUUAGGGUGCACUGGCCAAGGUCCAGGUGUUCGGAAAGUGGCACAGUGUUCCCAGGAAGCAGGCGACCUAUGGCGAUGCUGGCCUCACGUACACGUUUUCUGGUCUUACCCUGACACCAAAGCCCUGGGUUCCUGUUCUAGAGCGUGUUCGAGAUCGAGUCUGCGAGGUGACAGGACAGACCUUCAACUUUGUACUCGUGAACAGGUACAAAGAUGGUUGCGACCACAUCGGCGAGCACAGAGAUGACGAGCGAGAACUGGCUCCGGGGAGCCCCAUCGCGUCUGUCUCCUUUGGCGCUUGCAGAGACUUCAUUUUCCGGCACAAAGACUCUCGAGGGAAGAGGCCCCGGAGGACAGUGGAGGUGGUCAGGCUGCAGCUGGCACACGGAAGCCUGCUGAUGAUGAACCCCCCAACCAACACCCACUGGUACCACAGUCUCCCCAUCCGCAAGAGGGUCCUGGCUCCGCGGGUCAACUUGACUUUUCGGAAAAUUUUACCUACUAAGAAAUAAAAUGUCUUUAUUUAUUAUUGUA